ensembl:lncRNA
GCGCUGGAGACAAAGAAGGCAGUCCAGGAAAGGCAUUUAUGUAUCACCAUUACUAAAAGCUUUCCCUUUCAAGAAAACCAAAAAAGUAGGAUGAUGUUGUUUGAUGAUGACCUCAGUAUUUUGAUACAGUCCAUACCACAGAACAGCAAUUCUUAUGAUAUGCAUAAUGCACUUUUUUUAUGCAGCCAAGACUGCUGACAAAGACAACUGGAUCAUGGGCAACAAACAAAGAAGAAAUCUGUGAGCAAAACUUGCCAUCAAACGAUUCAGUUGGAGAGCCCAAGCCCAGAAAAGAAGAAAAGGACAUUGUCACUGAGGCCGCAAGUCACAUCCUAAAUGAUGACACUGUGCGGGUAAGUAAUAAUAAUAAUAAUAAUAAUAAUUAGACAUACAAAAUAUUGUUCAUUCAAUAUUCUCUGUUUUAUAUUAUGUUAAUAAAAAAGCCAGGUAGGAGACA